rnacentral:lncRNA from 1 species
CUAUGUGACAUCUGUUAACUUAUAUAAAUUUUUAAUAUUUUUUAUCACGUGGCAAGUUGUCCUUCGCCCUUACCAUCAUUUGACCAUUUUCAUUUCCUUCAUCAAACUUUUAAUUAAUACAUCUAAACGUUAUCAUUACUAAACUAUCAAUGACAAGUUGUCCUUCACCGCAUUUGACCCUUUCCUUUUAAACUUUCAAUUAAUAUACUUAAUUAAUACAUCUAAACUAUUAUCAAACUUUCAAUGACAAAUUGUUCUUCACCCUAUUUGACCAUUCCCUUUUUCUUCAUGAAACUUUCAAUUAAUAUAUUUAAUUAAUAAAUCUAAACGUUUUUAGUACCAAACUUUUCCUCCACCAAAUUUUUCAUAUUCAAUUAAUUCAUUAAUUCUCUUUUCCUCAUCUUUUUUCAUACAUUGUUGCCUUCCUCCCUCUCUCACUAAUGUGCGCUCAUGUCCCCCCUCCGUCACAGUCGAAAGAAUUGUCAUCAUUUUCACUAUCAUUGUCGUCGGAGAAGGCAUCGUCGGUUCCAUAUAUCGAUCCCUGCUACUAAUAGUGAGGGACCUUUUGUGACUGUAUCAAGUGAGGAACACAAAAAAAUAUUUGAUGUUAUAUAUCUUAUUAUAAAUUACUCCUAUAAUUUUUAUCUACUGCAAAGCGCGGACUCCUUUACUAGUAUAUAUAUUUUUAGUGUUGAAUAUAUAA